rnacentral:rRNA from 1 species
UACAGAGGGGGCAAGCGUUGUUCGGAAUUACUGGGCGUAAAGGGCGCGUAGGCGGCCUUCUAAGUCGAACGUGAAAUCCCCGGGCUCAACCCGGGAACUGCGUCCGAUACUGGAAGGCUUGAAUCCGGGAGAGGGAUGUGGAAUUCCGGGUGUAGCGGUGGAAUGCGUAGAGAUCCGGAGGAAGACCGGUGGCGAAGGCGGCCUGCUGGGCAGUUACUGACACUGAGGCGCGACAGCGUGGGGAGCAAACAGG